rnacentral:rRNA from 1 species
CCUACGGGUGGCUGCAGUGGGGAAUAUUGGACAAUGGGCGAAAGCCUGAUCCAGCCAUGCCGCGUGUGUGAAGAAGGCCUUCGGGUUGUAAAGCACUUUCAGUGGGGAAGAAAGCCUUGGGGCUAAUACCCUCGAGGAAGGACAUCACCCACAGAAGAAGCACCGGCUAACUCCGUGCCAGCAGCCGCGGUAAUACGGAGGGUGCGAGCGUUAAUCGGAAUUACUGGGCGUAAAGCGCGCGUAGGCGGUCUGAUAAGCCGGUUGUGAAAGCCCCGGGCUCAACCUGGGAACGGCAUCCGGAACUGUCAGGCUAGAGUGCAGGAGAGGAAGGUAGAAUUCCCGGUGUAGCGGUGAAAUGCGUAGAGAUCGGGAGGAAUACCAGUGGCGAAGGCGGCCUUCUGGACUGACACUGACGCUGAGGUGCGAAAGCGUGGGUAGCAAACAGGAUUAGAUACUAGUAGUC